rnacentral:rRNA from 1 species
UGGCGGAGUGCCUAACACAUGCAAGUCAAACGGGUGGUAACACCAGUGGCGCACGGGUGAGUAAUGCAUGGGUCAUCUGCCUCGUAGAGGGGGAUAACUACGCGAAAGUGUAGCUAAUACCGCAUACGCAGGGAACUGCAAAGGAGGGGAUCGCAAGACCUUCCGCUACGAGAUGAGCUCAUGUCCCAUUAGCUAGUUGGCGGGGUAACAGCCCACCAAGGCGAAGAUGGGUAGCUGGUCUGAGAGGACGAUCAGCCACACUGGAACUGAGACACGGUCCAGACUCCUACGGGAGGCAGCAGUGGGGAAUAUUGCGCAAUGGGCGAAAGCCUGACGCAGCAACGCCGCGUGAGUGAUGAAGGCCUUCGGGUUGUAAAGCUCUUUCGGUUGGGAAGAAGGGUGUGCGUACUAAUAAUGCGUACAUUUGAUGGUACCAAAAGAAGAAGCACCGGCUAACUUCGUGCCAGCAGCCGCGGUAAUACGAAGGGUGCGAGCGUUGUUCGGAAUGACUGGGCGUAAAGGGUUCGUAGGCGGGAAGACAAGUCAAGUGUGAAAUCCCCAGGCUCAACCUGGGACGUGCACUUGAAACUGCUUUUCUUGAGUCAGAGAGAGGGUGAUGGAAUUGCUGGUGUAGGAGUGACA